rnacentral:tRNA from 1 species
GGGCCCUUAGCUCAGUUGGUUAGAGCGCACCCCCGAUAAGGGUGAGGUCGGUUGAGUCCACUAGGCCCCACCA